GUUUAGCCGUUCAGCUAGUGAAUAAUUUUUCUCAAACGUUGCCUUAUUCCCCGUUUAUAAUGUUUUUCACCUUUUAUUUAAUAGUGGCAACCCAUUCAAAGUUUUCCCAAUGUGCAAAAGAAAUUCUUUCCCAAAAACUCUUUGAGCAAAGCUGGCUCCACAUUUGAAGAGCAUUUUUUGUAAUUCCCUAAAGAAAACACUAACUAUAUGAUUAACGUAUGCCAGCGGUUACUUUGAAACAUUGGAUUUACUUUCCUUGCUUGUAAAAACCAAACCCAAUGAAAUGUAGAAUUUGGAAAGUUGACUAUUUCCUCAAUCUGGCUAAAAUUGCAAAACUUAAGCGCCAAAACAUUGAGUUUCGUAUUUGUUUCCCCAUUUCUUCAACUUAAAAAUUUAUGUAACAUGAAAUCGUGACAGGAAUUUCUUAUAAAUUGUGUAUUUUAGGAG